ensembl:lncRNA
CCACAGCUCGUGGGGACAUCAUGGGAACAGAAAGGAGAGAAUGUGAGGUUCUUUGACCACUGCCUUAAGGCCCAGGGCCUGUGAGGUGGCUUUCAACUGCCACGGCCAUAGCCAUCACGGCCUACACCAAAACGCUGUUUCAGGCGCCAGCGACUGCACCCAGGUGCACUCAGACAGAACCUCCCACCGCUGCACGCUGCCACCUUUGUAGAGGGAGAGAAAUUUUGAUUUGUCUGCCUAACUGCUUUUCAUUUUGAUUUCUUGCUUCCAUUUUUGACAUUAUUGUUUUGCCCAGUAAACUCAGAUCUUCUUCAGAGAGGCAACUCUUACAGGCUGGUUUUGCCACUUUGCACUUGCAGGGUUUUUAAUAAACAUACAAGUGCUGUGCUAACAUGGGAGAAAUGAGUACUUUACAGAAGCACAGGGUGUAAGGAGAAGAAAUCACCCUUUUCUGAAUACAGGCGGAUCAAGCUUUUACUGGUAGGCAGUAGUGAAAAAAAUCCAUUGUUUUUAUGUUCCAUAGCCCUCUCUAUCUGCCUCAUACUUUGUAAAGAGUGUCAUUUUCUUCAUGUUCUAUCUUUCUUCUUUUCUGUCUUUUAAGAAAUCAGUUAUUGCAAGUCUAGUCAGCAGAAAAAUGCACUCUGAAGUGACUGAUACUCCAUCAGAGUCAUGCAUCCUCUUUCAUAACUUUGGUCUCCCUUCUGUUUCCUUCUCCAUCUUUCAGUAUCAGUGUUCUGUUCAUCAUCUCAAAUUGCAGAGGCAGGAUGGGUUGAGGAAAUAAAAGGCCUGAUUUACAGGAAGAGGUGGCAACUUCAUGACACCCAGUAACACAGGUGGAGUGCAAAAAUGGAAGAGCUCAGGGACACAGUCAGUAGGUGGUUUGGGCAGCCCAGGAGACAGGAGUCUUUUUCCCUAAAAACCUGACAUUCUGCUCUGACUGUAACAGUGGAUCUGAUCAACCAUUGUGUUUUUCUACAAGCUCUUUUACCACCACCUCAGAAAGUGACCAUUUGAUAUCUUUGCCGUAUCAUACUUUCAGUUCAGUUUUUAUUCCUCUACUGUUUGUUUCUUUUCUGCUCAUCUAGGUGACUCGAUGUCUUGUGAUCAACGUGAGACCCAAUGAUGAACCCCCUCUUGAAGACAAAUACAGUUCUUCCAUUCUCUCUAAUAAAGUAGACUCUAAUAACGUCCU